rnacentral:rRNA from 1 species
GCGGCAGGCUUAACACAUGCAAGUCGAACGCUGUAGCAAUACAGAGUGGCAGACGGGUGAGUAACGCGUGGGAACGUGCCCUUCGGUUCGGAAUAACUCAGGGAAACUUGAGCUAAUACCGGAUACGUGCGAGAGCAGAAAGAUUUAUCGCCGAAGGAUCGGCCCGCGUCCGAUUAGCUAGUUGGUGAGGUAAUGGCUCACCAAGGCGACGAUCGGUAGCUGGUCUGAGAGGAUGAUCAGCCACACUGGGACUGAGACACGGCCCAGACUCCUACGGGAGGCAGCAGUGGGGAAUAUUGGACAAUGGGCGCAAGCCUGAUCCAGCCAUGCCGCGUGAGUGAUGAAGGCCCUAGGGUUGUAAAGCUCUUUCGCCAGGGACGAUAAUGACGGUACCUGGAUAAGAAGCCCCGGCUAACUUCGUGCCA